GGGGAUUUAGCUCAGUGGUAGAGCGCUUGCCUAGCAUGCACAAGGUCCUGGGUUCGGUCCCCAGCUCUG
rfam:Rattus norvegicus chromosome 3, whole genome shotgun sequence.